GCGCACGGGUGAGUAACACGUAUCCAACCUGCCGUCUACUCUUGGACAGCCUUCUGAAAGGAAGAUUAAUACAAGAUGGCAUCAUGAGUCCACAUGUUCACAUGAUUAAAGGUAUUCCGGUAGACGAUGGGGAUGCGUUCCAUUAGAUAGUAGGCGGGGUAACGGCCCACCUAGUCUUCGAUGGAUAGGGGUUCUGAGAGGAAGGUCCCCCACAUUGGAACUGAGACACGGUCCAAACUCCUACGGGAGGCAGCAGUGAGGAAUAUUGGUCAAUGGGCGAGAGCCUGAACCAGCCAAGUAGCGUGAAGGAUGACUGCCCUAUGGGUUGUAAACUUCUUUUAUAAAGGAAUAAAGUCGGGUAUGCAUACCCGUUUGCAUGUACUUUAUGAAUAAGGAUCGGCUAACUCCGUGCCAGCAGCCGCGGUAAUACGGAGGAUCCGAGCGUUAUCCGGAUUUAUUGGGUUUAAAGGGAGCGUAGAUGGAUGUUUAAGUCAGUUGUGAAAGUUUGCGGCUCAACCGUAAAAUUGCAGUUGAUACUGGAUAUCUUGAGUGCAGUUGAGGCAGGCGGAAUUCGUGGUGUAGCGGUGAAAUGCUUAGAUAUCACGAAGAACUCCGAUU
rnacentral:rRNA from 1 species